GGUUGCAGCCAUACCACGGAGAACACACUGUUUCCCGUCCGAUCAACGCUAGUAAAGCUCCGUAGGGCCACACUGAUUAGUGCAGUGGGAGGCCAUAUGCGAAAUUGUGGUGCCGCAAUCU
rfam:Metschnikowia bicuspidata var. bicuspidata NRRL YB-4993 METBIscaffold_3, whole genome shotgun sequence.